GGUGAGUAACACGUAUCCAACCUGCCGAUGACUCGUGGAUAGCCUUUCGAAAGAAAGAUUAAUACCCGAUGGCAUAGUUCUUCCGCAUGGUAGGACUAUUAAAGAAUUUCGGUCAUCGAUGGGGAUGCGUUCCAUUAGCUUGUUGGCGGGGUAACGGCCCACCAAGGCAUCGAUGGAUAGGGGUUCUGAGAGGAAGGUCCCCCACAUUGGAACUGAGACACGGUCCAAACUCCUACGGGAGGCAGCAGUGAGGAAUAUUGGUCAAUGGGCGCUAGCCUGAACCAGCCAAGUAGCGUGAAGGAUGACUGCCCUAUGGGUUGUAAACUUCUUUUAUAUGGGAAUAAAGUGCAGUAUGUAUACUGCUUUGCAUGUACCUUAUGAAUAAGGAUCGGCUAACUCCGUGCCAGCAGCCGCGGUAAUACGGAGGAUCCGAGCGUUAUCCGGAUUUAUUGGGUUUAAAGGGAGCGUAGGCGGGUUGUUAAGUCAGUUGUGAAAGUUUGCGGCUCAACCGUAAAAUUGCAGUUGAUACUGGCAUCCUUGAGUACAGUAGAGGUAGGCGGAAUUCGUGGUGUAGCGGUGAAAUGCUU
rnacentral:rRNA from 1 species